rnacentral:rRNA from 1 species
CCUACGGGUGGCAGCAGUGGGGAAUAUUGGUCAAUGGAGGAAACUCUGAACCAGCAACGCCGCGUGAAUGAUGAAGGUCUUCGGAUUGUAAAGUUCUUUUCUAAGGGAAGAAGAAAGUGACGGUACCUUAGGUAUAAGCCUCGGCUAACUACGUGCCAGCAGCCGCGGUAAUACGUAGGCGGCGAGCGUUAUCCGGAAUGAAUGGGCGUAAAGGGUGCGUAGGUGGUUUGACAAGUUAGGAGGGUAACUCCGAGGCUCAACCUCGGCAGUACUACCGAAACUUUCGGACUUGAGUGCAGGAGGGGUAAUUGGAAUGCGUGGUGUAGCGGUGGAAUGCGGAGAUAUUAGGAGGAACUCCGGUGGCGAAGGCGAAUUGCUGGACUGUAACUGACACUGAGGCACGAAAGCGUGGGGAGCAAACAGGAUUAGAUACCCCGGUAGUC